CAAAUCAUGAUUUUGCAAUAAAUGCUAUGCAACCAACCAUACAUGAUAUUGGUAAUAUAAUCUAGUAUUUGCUAUUGUAUAAUACGAUAUGUAAUAGAUCAUAUAAAGUUAUUGUGGGAGAUUCAGAGUCCAUGGAUUAUAAACCAACAAUAAAAGAGCCAAGACUGAGGGAUGACAAGAUGCCAAGGAGUAAAAAGUCAAUAAUGUUUCAAUUUCUUAAACCUUCACAUGUUUUAGGCUUCUUGGGAUGGUUCAACUGCAGAGAUAGAUUAACCCAUGAGUAAUGUACUAGCAUGGACCAUUCUUCCGGCUUUCCAGUAGGGAUGCAGCCAACAACUGUAACAUCACCUGUGUCACUGAUAAGUUUCACUAAGCAAACAAACAGUUCUCCUGUGGAAAAACAUCUGAUGCCAAAAGCUUCCCUUCAUGCCAAUACAAGAGUGAAGGCUGAUGCAGUUUCACUUGAAGCAGGUUGAAUAAAAACUGGACUCGGCCCCUUUAAGUCCGGCUGAUGACAAACGGCUACUUUUUAUCUUUUGCUGUUGCUCUGGCUCAGUACAGCCAUUUAAUUAUUCAUAGGAAGGUUCUUUGGUAUUUUCACUGUAGAAGUCACAUCUAAGACUUAAAUCUUACUUCCACCAACUCCAGUGAUGAAGUUUCCAGACUAAUGAAAAGGUCAGUGCUGUGACAUUUCUGGAACCCAUUCUCAGCUUCGCAGGGAAAGCUAGACUUGGGUUUUCCAUUAUUGGAGCAUAAAGUUCUUCACUCACCAAAACUGCAUCAGCAGGAAAAUCCACCAGACACUUUAAGCUAGUGAUUACACUGAUGUGAAUAUAAACUUACCACAAAUAUAACAAUGAAAGUUUUUGUAUGCUGGGGAAAAUCUUGGAGUGUGGAGAAAGCAUCUCAAUUACCUUGCAGGUCAGUGUGCAAUUAUAUUAGGCUUUCUCCCCUUUCUCUCCCUCUUCAUUUCCCGUUUCUUUCUAAAUAGCACUAGAUACAAAGGGGAAAGGCAAAUGGGGUUAUUACUUUGUUUAAAAGGGAAAGGAUGGUUACUUCUUUUCUUUUUUUUAAAUCGUUGUUAGGAUUUUUUUUUUUUUUUUUUUGGUAGAGACAGGAGUCUUGUUAUGUUACCCAGGCUGAUCUCAAACUCCUGACCUCAAGUGAUCCUCCCACCUGGGCCUCCCAAAGUACUGGGAUUACAGGUGUGUGCCACUGCAUCCAGCCUUUUUUAAAAAAAUAAUUUUAAUCACGGCUGUAAUCCUAGGACUUUAGGAGGUCCAGGUGGGUGGAUCACCUGAGGUCAAGAGUUCGAGACCAGCCUGAUCAACAUGGAGAAAUCCUGUCUCUACUGAAAAUACAAAAUUAGCCAGGUGUGAUGGCACAUGCCUGUAAUCCCAGCUACUCUGGAGGCUGAGGCAGGAGAGUCACUUGAAUCUGGGAGGCGGAAGUUGUGGUGAGCCAAGAUCGCACCAUUGCACUCCAGCUUGGGCAACAAGAGCAAAACUCCAUCUCAAAAAAAAAAAAAUUAAAAUUAAAACAGAGACAGGGUCUUGCUAUGUUGCCCAGGUUGGUCUCAAACUCCUACCUCGAUCUCCCAGAGUGAUGGGAUUGCAGGUGUAAGCCCCUGCCCUCAGCCAAUGGUGACUAAUUAACCAGAAAGGCAUUUACUCAAGACUUUUAGAUAGAGAUCAUCAACACUGUAAAGAGGGAAUUAAAAGUUUAUUUGAUUUUUAUCCUCCUUGGGUCUUGUAGAAGAUUCAGGCUCUUGAUGUUUCUGAACUGUUGCAUCAGCUACCUGUUUGUUUAUGUCUUCCUUUUUAGGCUAUAAAUUCCUCAGGGCAGGUCCUCAGCCUUAUUUAUCUUUGUUUUUCCAAAUUCCAGAACAUUCUGAACACAUAGAAGAUAUUUGUGCUUAUUGAACGGCAUGACAAGUUGACUGUAUACAUUAUUAAUACAUGAAUAAAUAAAGUUCAUAGCUUUUCACUGUUGAAUGAUUCCAGGUAUAACCGCAGGUUCAGUGCAGAGCCUGAGCAAGCUCAGUGAUCACUUGCUGAAUAUAAAUAAAGGUAGCCGGGUGCAUCGAGACCAGCCUGGCCAACAUGGUGAAACCCCUUCUCUACUAAAAUACAAAAAAUUAGCCAGGCAUGGUGAGGCACGCUUGUAGUCCCAGGUACUGGGAGGGUGAGGCACGAGAAUUGCUUGAACCUGGGAGGCAGAGAUUGCAGUGAGCCGAGAUUGUGCCACUGUACUCCAGCCUGGGCAACAGAGUGAGAUUCUGCCAAAAAAAAAAAAAAAAAAAAAAAAAUAUAUAUAUAUAUAUAUAUAUAUAAAGGUAAAACUGUAAACUGGCGCCAGCCCACCUGAGCCUUCUUUAGGACUCUCGCAUAGCCAGCCCUGUUUUUGGUGACUUCGUCCAUCAUAUGCCUAGUCAUUAUCAUGCAAUUUGACAGUAUGCUUGCACUCCAACAGAGAUGCCGAAGAAACAUAACGAUCCUCACACCUUUGUGCAGCUCACAACCUGCACAAAAUAGCUGCACUCUAACAACCAAACGGCAUUGCAUUUGUGUCCACUUCAUGGCAUUCCCGCCUCCACAGUAAAAUAACACUCAGUACAGGUAAAAUACUCUCUAAAAUACUCUUUUUUUUCUUUUCUCAAGACAGAGGCUUGCUUUGUCACCCAGGCUGGAGUGCAGUGGCACGAUUUCGGCUCACUGCAACCUCUGUCUCCUGGGUUCAAGCAAUUCUCCUGCCUCAACCUCCUGAGUAGCUGGGAUUACAGGCACACACCACCACACCUGGCUAAUUUUUGUAUUUUUAGUAGAGACAAGGUUUUACCAUGUCGGCCAGGCUGGUCUCGAACACCUGACUUCGUGAUCCGCCCACCUUGGCCUCCCAAAGUACUGAGAUUACAGGUGUGAGCCAGCCUAAAAUACUCUUACAGGCAGGGCACAGUGGCUCAUGCCUAUAAUCCCAGCAUGUUGAGAGGCUGAGGCAGGAGGAUCGCUUGAGCCCAGGAGUUCAAGACCAGCCUGAGCAGCAUAGUGAGACCUGUUCUCUACGAAAAAUACAAAAUUAGCCAGGCAUGGUUGCAAGCACCCUGUAUACCCAGCUACUCAAGAGACUGAGAUGGGAGGAUCGCUUGAGCCUGGGAGGUUGAGGCUGCAGUGAGCCGUGAUUGUGCCACUGCACUGCAGCCUGGGUGACAGAAAUGAGAUCCUGUCUCAAAAAUAAUACUUUUAUAAAUAAAUAAAAUACUCUAAGAAUAAGGGACACAGGCAUAACAAAUCAGCAAAAUAAAAUUCCGGUUAAUUGUUGAACAUUGUUUCACACAUACAUCAAACAAGUGAAAACAUUUAUAAACAAACAGCAACUUUAUAGACAAAAAAAGAGGAAAAAAAAAGAGAAACCCAGCCAGAUAUGGCAGUUCACACCUGUAAUCCCACCACUUAGGGAGGCCAAGGCAGGAGAAUCACUUGAGCUUAGGUGUUUGAGAUCACCUUGAACAACAUAGUGAGACCCCCUGUCUCUACAAAAAUUUUAAAAAUUAGUUGGGCAUAAUGGUGUGCACCUGUGGUCCCAGGUACUGGGGAGGCUAAGAAGGGAGAAUUGCUUGAGCCAGGAAGGUCAAGGUUACAAUGAGCAGUGAUUGCACCACUGCACCACUCCAGCGAGGCCCUGUCUCCAAAAACAGAGAGAGAGAGAGAGAGAGAAAUCUUUUGUAUUUGACCUAUUUAACCACUUCAUACAAACCAACUACUCAUAGUACAGCUUAAUACAUACACAAAAAAAAACUUAAUAGAUGCUCAGAAUAAGAGUCGUCCUCUUGCUUUUCUUCUCUUUUCUUUUUCU
ensembl:lncRNA